AGCAGAUGAUGGCUUUUUCUCACGAUGGUCUCUGGAGGCUACUCCGGGCAGUGCCGAUCAUGCAAACGGCUCAGCUGAUGCCAGGAA
ensembl:snoRNA